ensembl:lncRNA
AAUGUGGUAUUUGCUUUGCUUCAGUCCAGUUCUCUACUGACCUAUUGACCUUCAUUCGCACAGGUCUGGGACGUGGCAGCGGCUCAGGGGAGUCCAUGAUCUCCUGCACCAGCGGAGCAGUGACCUUCCGGCGAGGCAGGAAGAUGUCGGCCUGGUAACGGGACACACGACUCUCCAGCCCCACCAGGUCAAACAUGGACAGGUCACACCGCUACAGAUGAAAUGAGACAGGAGUUAAAAGGGCUCAAUUAACUCGGAACAGUGGGAGAAAAAUCAAUGAAUAUAAUAAUAAAAACACGAACUAUUUUAAACAUAAUUUCUCAGACACCCAGAGAGACCAUACCUCAAAGGGUGACAUCUCCACGGCUUCCUGUACGAUGGAGGCGGUGCUGAAGAUGAUGGGCUUGGUGAUGAAGGGCGACUGGAUGGGCCGAGGGUCAAACAGGUUGGGGUGGUUGCACACCUUCCUCAGCUGCAUCAGAAUGUUGAUCACAGACAUGAAGUGACCGCUUGCCAGAGUCUCUCUCGUCCUGAACACCAGAGAGAGAGACAAAGAGAGGCCAAGUGAGGAAUAAUGGAGGCCAAUGAAAACAGAUUACACUGAAGCACGACACUAAACCAACAGAGGGGCCCAUGUUUAGAUUAGGCACGCAACCCCUGACAUGCAUGCAUCUGAAAGCACACUCACGAGGCCUGGGCCAUGAAGUCGUCGUAGAGGAAGCGCUGUCUCAUGGAGAGACGGCAGCGCACCACGUGCUCGUACUUCUUGGGCAUCUGCUUCUCCACGUCCACCUUGACACGGCGCAGCAGGAAGGGCCUGAGCACCUACAGGGGGAGGAGAGAACAUGCGUCAGCAAUCAAUGGACAUAACUGGCAACAAUGAUUUGUUUGAGAGCAUUUAAUAUUAAACUAUUGCAUCUUUUAUUGUUAAAUGUCAUUCUAUUGUGUAGACAUAAUUAAUUAAUGUCAACCUCAGUCCAUUUGGUCAAAAUCACUCAGCACCCAGUCUGACAUGACAUAUGACAGGAUUUACAAGUCACAGUCACUUUGUGUUUCCAAUGCCACCUCACCUUGUGAAGUCUCUUGACCAGGCCCUCGUUGUACUCCUGGCUGCCCUCGAUCAUGCCAGUCAGCGGGUUGGAGAACCACUCCUUGAACUCGCGGUGGGACUGGAAGACGUGCGGCAUGAGGAAAUGCAUGAGCGACCACAACUCCAUCAGGCUGUUCUGCAGGGGCGUUCCUGUCAGGAGCAGGCGUCGGUGGCUGCAGGGGGAGAGGGAACAACAUCUUUUUUUACAAAUACUUAAAUUUUGUACUCUAUGCUUAGUAAGAAGGGAGGCAAACAGAUCUGCCUGACAUCAUCUAAGCCGCAUCCAGUUCGCAAAGUACGCAAGUGAGGAAAAUGCACGGUCAAAGUAAUUGGGCCUCUAACCAAUACCAAGCUUUACCUAUUGAAGUUGAGCAGACUCUGCCAGCGCUGUGACUUGAAGUUUUUGAUUUUGCGCUCUUUCUGGCUGCCGUAGUAGGUGAGGAUCUUGAACCCAGGACACCAGCGUUUGAGCUCCAUUUCCCAGUUCAGCAUCACACUGGUGGGCACAAUGAUUAAAUGGGGUCCCCAGUUUCCUGUAAAAUCUUUCUCACAAGCAAGGUGAGCCAGCAGUGCGAUGGUCUGGAUGGUUUUGCCGAGGCCCAUUUCAUCUGCCAGGAUGCCGUUAAGCUUCUUCUCAUACAUGGUGACCAGCCAGUCAAGCCCAAUGUGUUGGUACUCGCGCAGCGUGCCAUGCAGCAAAAAGGGGAUGGGAGUUUUCACCUGAAGACAAAAGCGCUCGUCAGUGAGACUACUCAUUUCUCAGUGAGACUACUCAUUUCCCAGAAAGAAGCCAAGAACCCAACACCUACUACCACUUGUGUGUACAAGUGCAACAGCUACUAUGGCUAUUAUGAUGGUGCUGGUGGUGUAAUCUCCGAGUGCUUACCUUAGUGGUGGCCAGUGUGUAUCCUUUUGGCUGGAGGCUCUCCGCUGUGGCAGCAAUGUGGCUGAUCUCCUUCUUGGGCCGGGGAGAGGUGGGCAGCGGAGGGCUGUGGUCGCCCUCCUUCAGCAGAGCCUCCAUACCCUCUUCAGGAUCAUCGUCAUCUUCAUCGCCGUCGUCAUCAGCUACCUCUUCCUCUUCAUCCUCCUCCUCUAUGACCUCGUCAUCUGUGUUAACUGCUUCUGAGGAGGCUGAAGGUAUGAGGGCAGAGGGGGAAGAACACAUUCUUCAUUCUCUGAAUGGCAAAGUUGAAAGGAGCCUAAAAAUAGCCCAUUCGAGGCGCCCUCAAGUACCUGAAGAGCUGUUGGUCUCGUCAUCGCUGUCAUCACCCUCGCUCUCUUCCUCCUCCUCUUCCUCCGUGCUCUCCUCCUCCUCAGAGGUGCCGGGCGACGCAGAUGCAGAGGGCUCCUCAAAAUCAGAGGCAUAUGCCCCCUUAUACUUCUCCAGCAGAUCCUCCAUGCUCAUCUCGCCUGGGAAUGGGCAUACCAUUGGUUACAAACGGUUACUAAGCGGUUACCAUAUUUUCAGCUUUUUAUAGACACAACGAAUACAAUCUCUGAUAUGAUCAGGUGAUAUUAAGGUUUAUUAGCAAUACAUAGGAUGUCUUGAAUGAUUUUUUCCGUCUCCAUUCUAAAUGGAAGUUUAGCUUAAUUCACUUAUUACACGUCUUGUCCAAAAUGAUGAACCAAAAUGUCCAAGUUCCAACUAGCAUGGUUAAGAACAGAAAAAAAUUAAAUAAAAUGUGAGCGUUAAAGUUACCUUCUUUGGUUAGGUCGUCCAACUCUUCAUCAUGGUUGCCAUCACCUUCAACUGCUUCCUGUGCUUCUAUCGUCUCCUCUUCGUCUUCAGCUGAAGGAAAUAUGAACACAAAAGUUACAUAAGAAAAUCAUUAUGCUGGUUCCAAGGAAAGUACAUUUUCAUUAGCUCAGUGUUUUGACUAGUAACGGGUUACUAAAACUGGUAAAAAGUUUCUUCAGAAUCUCUUACCAUCUUCCUCAUUGGCUGUGAACUCCCCGUCUUCAUCCUCAACCACAGAUGAGGAGCUGUCUGAGCACUCGUCGUCUGAAGCAGAGGGCUGUGGAGAGGAAACAACGUGAAUAUUUCACGGCAUCACUUCAUCUUACUGAGCUUCAAUCAAACAAUAAAAUAUGGACGCCACAGCAGAAGCUAAAAAUAGGAUUCUUGUCAGAUUGUGUUGUUGAUUAACACCAAACACUUUAGCAAUAACUGGCAUUGCUAAACAAGAUGUUGAGGAAGGUUGUUCCUUAUAAACUUCUCAGACAUGGGAUUGUCUGGAAACCAUUCGACUAAAACCCAAACAAACUAGAUACUCGACUAAACAGACCUAAAAAUAGCCUGAAUUGAAAAAAAAAAACCUAUUGUGUGAGGAAUGCUCCUGUUCUAAAACAAGGCCUACUUGAUAUGGCACAGUGUGUUUGAGCUGAUUGCAAGGAUCUUAAAGAAUGAGAGUGGUGCCUCAACAACCUUCGCCAAGACCUUUUAUCUAUCAAGGAAAAUCUGGACAAUGUCAGAGAGGGAGAACUGAGGCAUUCCUCAUUGCCUUGAUCACACACUGAGCUGGUUGUACCAUAUAAACAAUUACUGAACAUAAUAUGCUGACUGGCAACUGCCAAAGAUUACAUCAUCCAAAGAGACUCACUAUAGCCUAAAGCAUCCACAUAUCCACAGUUCCCUCUCAAAAGCAACCACCACAUUAUUAACACGGUCAUGUUCAAAUCACUCUAGAUCUACAAUGGCAGCAGGAACCUGAAAUUCUAACUAAAUCUCUGAUGCUGCUGUUGGUGAGAGGGUCUGGCUGUGGCGUACCGGAGGGUAGGAGAUGGUGUUGAGCAGUUGUUCAAGGGGCAGCAAGCCCUCCUCCCUCAGCAGCUCGAUCUCCCGCCUCUGCGACUCAGCGUCAUUCCCCUCCUGCUGCUCUUCCACAUCAAGGGUCUCCUCAUCAUCCUCUUCCUCACACGGUGGCUCAAAGUCAUGGUCUGGCAAAAGGGAGGAAGAGUAAAGGGACUUUUAACCACCAACGCAGGAACAUGGGUUUUUGUGGUUUUGUGUGAUGUCAAGGCAAAUGACAGAAAUGUUUUUCAUUGAAUUGAAAGACGCCAACAAAGCAAGGCACCCACCAUCCUCAUCAGUGACUUGUUGUGUGGAGGGUUUUGGAGGAGAGGUGGGGGUUUCACUGUUGGCGGCAGGCGUAGCCGCCAGCGAUUGGCUGAGGAGGUCCGAGUAGCGCUCGGUUUGACCCACAAUGAAGUCCAGCUGCAGGUCCAGAGCCUUCUUCCUCUUCUCCUCCAGUCGAGACUGUUGCUUGUACUGGACCACCUGACCAACGAUGAGGAAAGGAGUGAGAACAGGGUUGGGUUGGAUGUGGAGGUUACAGGUAUCAGAUUAAUGGAUUCAACAGAGCCACUCAAUUUUUGGGGAUCUCCCAAGUGAACAAACUGUUAAUGUGUACUACUAAAGAUAGUCACUGUGGGCCAAAUCCAAAAUUAAACAAUGCAAGC